rnacentral:rRNA from 1 species
UACAGAGGUGGCAAGCGUUGUUCGGAAUUACUGGGCGUAAAGGGCUCGUAGGCGGCCAACUAAGUCAGACGUGAAAUCCCCAGGCUCAACCUGGGAACUGCGUCUGAUACUGGAUGGCUUGAAUCCGGGAGAGGGAUGAAGAAUUCCAGGUGUAGCGGUGAAAUGCGUAGAUAUCUGGAGGAAUACCGGUGGCGAAGGCAGCAUCCUGGACCGGCAUUGACGCUGAGGAGCGAAAGCCAGGGGAGCAAACGGG